rnacentral:rRNA from 1 species
GACGAACGCUGGCGGCGUGCUUAACACAUGCAAGUCGAACGGAAAGGCCCUGCUUGCAGGGUACUCGAGUGGCGAACGGGUGAGUAACACGUGGGUGAUCUGCCCUGCACUUCGGGAUAAGCCUGGGAAACUGGGUCUAAUACCGGCUAGGUGCCAUUUUUAGUGUGAUGGUUGGAAAGUUUUUUCGGUGUAGGAUGCGCUCGCGGCCUAUCGGCUUGUUGGUGGGGUAAUGGCCUACCAAGGCGGCGACGGGUAGCCGGCCUGAGAGGGUGGACGGGCACAAUGGGACUAAGGGACGGCCCAGACGCCUACGGGAGGCAGCAGUGGGGAGUAUUGCACAAUGGGGGCAAGCCUGAGGCAGCGACGCCGCGUGGGGGAUGACGGCCUUCGGGUUGUAAACUCCGUUCGCUAGGGACGAAGCUUUUUGUGACGGUACCUAGAUAAGAAGCGCCGGCUAACUACGUG